UCCGGCUUGUCACCGGCAGUUUCUCCAGAGUGCCCGGCCGAACCGAUGGCAACUGAAGAUGAGGGUUGCGCUCGUUGCGGGACUUAACCCAACAUCUCACGACACGAGCUGAUGACAGCCAUGCAGCACCUGUGUGCAGGUUCUCUUUCGAGCACGAAUCCAUCUCUGGAAACUUCCUGCCAUGUCAAAGGUGGGUAAGGUUUUUCGCGUUGCAUCGAAUUAAACCACAUCAUCCACCGCUUGUGCGGGUCCCCGUCAAUUCCUUUGAGUUUUAGCCUUGCGGCCGUACUCCCCAGGCGGAACACUUAACGCGUUGGCUGCGGCACAGGGGGAUUCGACUCCCCCCACACCUAGUGUUCAUCGUUUACGGCGUGGACUAC
rnacentral:misc_RNA from 1 species